rnacentral:rRNA from 1 species
UCGUGAGACAGUUCGGUCCCUAUCCGUCGUGGGCGUAGGAAAUUUGAGAGGAGCUGUCCUUAGUACGAGAGGACCGGGAUGGACGCACCGCUGGUGUACCAGUUGUCUUGCCAAAGGCAUCGCUGGGUAGCUAUGUGCGGAAGGGAUAAGUGCUGAAAGCAUCUAAGCAUGAAGCCCCCCUCAAGAUGAGAUUUCCCAUAGCGCAAGCUAGUAAGAUCCCUGAAAGAUGAUCAGGUUGAUAGGUCAGAGGUGGAAGCGUGGCGACAUGUGGAGCUGACUGAUACUAAUAGAUCGAGGACUUAACUAAAA